UGGCAGUGGCUCUCCCACUGGCAGACAGGCUAGAGAGGAGUCCGGGCAGUGUCCGGUGUGGGAGCCGGGGGAUCACCAUGGCAAAGAAGCGAAAAGGCCGCGUGGCGAUCAACUCGGACAUGGAGGACAGCGGCAGCGACGAGAACCUGGAUCAGGAGCUCUUGUCCCUGGCAAAGCGGAAGCGCAGUGACUCUGAGGAGAAGGAGCCACCUGUGAGUCAGCCUGCAGCCUCCUCAGAUUCUGAGACGUCGGACAGUGAUGAUGAGUGGACGUUCAGGAGCAAUAAAAAUAAGAAGAAAGGAAAGGCCAGAAAAAUAGAGAAGAAAGGAACCAUGAAGAAACAGGUCAAUAAAACUGCUUCAUCAGGCAGUUCGGACAAAGACAGUUCAGCUGAGAGCUCAGCCCCUGAGGAAGGUGAAGUGUCGGAUUCUGACAGCAACAGCUCCUCCUCCAGUUCAGACUCUGACUCCUCUUCUGAAGAUGAAGAGUUCCAUGAUGGCUACGGGGAAGACCUCAUGGGGGAUGAGGAGGACAGGGCUCGUCUGGAGCAGAUGACAGAGAAGGAAAGAGAGCAAGAACUCUUCAACCGCAUUGAGAAGAGGGAGGUGUUGAAAAGAAGAUUUGAAAUUAAGAAGAAACUAAAAACAGCCAGAAAGAAAGAAAAGAAAGAAAAAAAGAAAAAACAAGAAGAGCAAGAAAAGAAAAGGCUGACACAGAUUCAAGAAUCUCAGGUAACAUCCCACAACAAGGAACGGUGUUCCAAACGGGAUGAGAAACUAGAUAAAAAAUCUCAAGCCAUGGAGGAGCUAAAAGCAGAGAGAGAAAAAUGGAAGAACAGAACAGCUGAGCUCCUCGCCAAAAAACAGCCAUUAAAAACCAGUGAGGUAUACUCUGACGAUGAGGAGGAGGAAGAAGAUGACAAAUCCAGUGAAAAGACAGACCGCUCAUCCCAAACACCAUCCUCUGAUGAAGAAGAAGAGAUCCCUCCGAAAUCACAACCCGUGUCCUUACCCGAAGAACUGAAUCGGAUUCGAUUAUCACGGCAUAAGCUGGAACGUUGGUGUCAUAUGCCCUUCUUUGCUAAAACUGUCACAGGAUGUUUUGUACGGAUUGGCAUUGGAAACCACAACAGCAAACCAGUUUACCGGGUUGCUGAGAUCAAGGGUGUUGUGGAAACCGCCAAGGUUUACCAGCUUGGUGGCACCAGAACAAACAAAGGGCUACAGCUACAGCAUGGCGAUGCCCAACGGGUAUUUCGCCUAGAGUUUGUCUCAAACCAAGCAUUCACUGAAAGCGAAUUCAUGAAGUGGAAAGAAGCGAUGUUUUCUGCUGGCAUGCAGUUGCCCACUCUAGAUGAAAUCAAUAAGAAGGAAUUAUCUAUUAAAGAAGCUCUUAAUUAUAAAUUCAAUGAUCAAGACAUUGAAGAGAUUGUAAAAGAGAAAGAAAGGUUCAGGAAGGCUCCGCUUAACUAUGCCAAGAAAAAGACUCAGCUGCUAAAGGAAAAGGCCAUGGCGGAGGACCUGGGGGAUCAGGACAAGGCCAAACAAAUCCAAGACCAGCUGAAUGAGCUGGAGGAGCGGGCAGAGGCCCUGCACCGCCAGUGGGUCAAGAACAUAUCUGCUAUUAGUUACAUCAACCAGCGGAACCGGAAAUGGAAUAUUGUGAAGUCUGAGAAGGCCCUUGUGGCUGAAAGUCUCAACAUGAAAAACCAACAGAUGGAUCCCUUUACCAGACGGAAAUGCGCACCUAUCAUCGUUUCUAAUUCCAGAAGCCCAGCUGUUCAAGCUGCCAUCUUGGCCCAGCUGAAUGCAAAGUAUGGUUCUGGAGUGUUACCGGAUGCCCCAAAGGAAAUGAGCAAGGGUCAGGGAAAGGAUAAAGAUUUGAAUUCUAAGUCAGCCAGUGACCUCUCAGAAGACUUGUUCAAAGUACAUGAUUUCGAUGUGAAGAUUGAUUUACAAGUUCCCAGUUCAGAGUCAAAGGCUUUGGCCAUCACCUCCAAGGCUCCACCAGCCAAGGAUGGGGCUCCAAGGAGAUCUCUGAACUUGGAAGACUACAAAAAGCGACGGGGGCUUAUUUGAACUCACCCAGCCUGCUGCUUCUGACCCUGCAUGCCCAUCAGUGCCCUGCCUUUCCUCUUCCUUUGAUGUGCCCUCUUUGGGCUGGAGCAGCAGUAGAAACUGGGAAGAGAC